GUUGGUUUGCUUGCACACACCAUACUGCAAUUCUGCUCCAGAGGCUGUCAGAUGAGACCUACCGAUUUGUUAGUUGACUUAACUGAGAUAGAUGACUUGUUCAGGGAACUUAUUAUUAGAUUAUCUCAGAGAAAAAAAAAGAAGAUUAAACUAGAGUUAUGAUUACAUUGUAUACUAUUUUUCUUUUACCUUAUUUUUGGCUUUGUCAAUUCUCUAAAAGAUAUAAAAGGGAAAAAGUUGUGUAGUUACUAGCUGCUGGUUUCUUCUAGAUGUCAAUGUGAUUGAAGGACGCGAUUCCUCAUUCGGAAUAGCAUCCAAAAUAGAGCAGAGUGUUGAAG
rnacentral:misc_RNA from 1 species